rnacentral:lncRNA from 1 species
CGCCCAACCCCCACCCGAACUUGUCAUAACUGGAUUGGCUUCUGGGACCUCUAGCUAACAUUAUUUUUUCCAGUGGUCUACAUGCAGCUUUUUUGGACUCCUACCCCUUCAAUGCACGGCAUGGACCCAGGACUCUCGGAGUGGAAGGCCGUGCCCCUUGCUCUGACCUCCAGAGCUGUGAGAGAGUCUGUCUUUACAAAGCUAGCCUGCUUCUCAUAUUUCAUGAUAGUCACGAAAAAUAGACUAAUACAUGACUCAAACCUUAAAAUUAUUAUCAGAUCUGAGUUUAAAAACAGCCAACUAUACUACGAAAUAAGAGUAC